GCUUUCGAUAUCAAUCUGUCCGUUUCUCUUCUCACAGUUUCAUCAUUUCUUGCAAUUUCGCCAUCACAAACUCCAAGUAAUUUAAUUAACAACGCCGCAACCAUCAGCAACACCAGGAUAACAGAGGAGUAAACAAUAACAUUAAGAAUGUACUCUAAUGCAGCCUGUCGUUGAUCUUGAUCUUCCUGAUUUAAGGAGACCAGGGUAUGGUACUGACUGAAAUUGAGUUGAAUUGGGCUU
rnacentral:misc_RNA from 1 species